rnacentral:sRNA from 2 species
UAGCCAAUAGGGUUGUUAGGUUAUACUAGAUGAGUGGUUGACCUACGGGUGUAAAAUAUUAGCUACAAUCCCCGUUAGAAGGAUAUGGAGCUCCAGCGAGCGACAAUCCAUCUUGGUUGUGGAAUCUGACUGAACCUUCAAUUGACAGCUUCUAUAUUUUCAGCGAUAGCAUGAAUGCCGCAGUCCAGCUUCAAAGCUUGUUCAUUAUUUGGAGCAGGAGGGCUUGAUUUGCACGUGCUUAAUACAGAAUAACGAUCUGGAUCGCAUCGAACUACUUGUUCUUGGACAAGCUGUCCAAGUGAGUCGCAGAUCUCGGAACCUGGAGCUCUAGGAUGUUUACGCUGAAACUAUACUGAUUCAACGCACCUGUGGUAGCACUUAUUGUCAGACUAGAAAGCAAUCGGGCGUCGACCCUCGGGAAAAGAACCAUAAAGACCUCUAACGACGAGUCCGGGGAAUAUCGAUACUGCGCAAAAUGACUCAAUUAUACUCAAGUUCAAAUUUCCCAUCAGUAAAAUAAUAAUUCAGAAAGCUGUUGACCUCAGUGAGGGCUCUUUAGUUUACCCGAGCAACACACCCAUUUUAUUCUGAGUAAUAUUGGUGUGGUCGCUGGCAAAGUUUGGUGUUUUUAAACAUUGAUUUAUUUUGCCAAAGCAGCUCUCCCCCAUCAAUUUCGCCUGCAAAUCAAAUACAUACACAGAGUACGUUUGAGUAUGAACCGUACAUUGACCACUGGGAAGGCGGCAUCCGCACAAUCAGCAGGAAGAGAAGUUAAACAAACAAGCGCACACCCGGGAAGAUUUAGUUACACUUAUCCGCUGGCUCUGGCAACUUCAGCUCAUACUCCCCAUCACCCUGAGCCACAUCAGGGCCCGGGUUCGGAUACUUGACUUCGAAAUUCGUCAUGGGUGUCUGGCACCCGUUAUCGAUAUUCGCAAACAGGAAGCUUGGGCGGUCAUUGAAAGGCACUGCUGGUGGCGUCGUCGCUGAAGCACCAUUGCUGCCGGUGUCGCUCGAACUACCACCACCACAUGUACAUGUACAUGAGCCUGUAUCUCGCUGACGGUACUGGUGGCCUUGCGGCAGGCCCCAGUCUCGCCCGUGGCGCCCGUUCCUAUGCCCAGAAUCUGAACGUGACACAAAAUCUUGCUUCCCCCCUUUUUUUUCCGCUCCAGUGAUCUCCACUGCCGCACAAAGCAUAUUAAAUUCCCUCUCCCGGUUAAUCCACGUCCACGCAAAUACUUGUACGCCAACCGGUGUGUCUCUGGGGACCGUAAAUUCAAACGUCUGCUUCUCCGGGUCCGUCCCGCCGUCCCGAUACGGGCAAUUGCCUUCAAAACUCUUCACUACUUUCCAUGUCGCGCCUUUGUCGACACUGAAUCCGACCUGGCAUGAGCCGCCGUAAUGGUUUCCUGUACCUGUGAGGCUAAAAUUUUGCUGCGACCCCGCGGCCCAGGAGGCAACGGAUUGGCCCUGUGGUGUGUUCAAAUGGCUUAGGUACCCUUUGCAGGGGAAAGGUGUGGUGCGGCCGCAACAAUUAUAGGGAUAGUCGAGGUGAGAGUCUGGCGCAUUCGUUAGAUGCGGAUUGUUUGCGGCUGCGAAGGGUGGUGGGUGGUAGAGACGCAUAUGAGCCUGCGCAAGAGUGGCUAGGCCAAUCAAGUAGAGCGUUUUGGCUGAUGAGAGCAUCCCUUGGUCGGUCUAUUGCUGCUGGUUUUGCUGUAGACCACCUGAGCGACUUUCUAAUGAAGGAAAUGACAGAACUGCGAUAGCAAGGCAGGGUUUGUAUGUUCCGUGUCACAGAUACGGGUGUCUGGUUUUUAGAAGCUUCGAAGAUGAAGCAGGUUCGGGUAGAUUAUGGAGAUCAGGUAUUUUGGAGAA